GCAGUAAUCGGGAACCCAGGUUUUAUACAUUACGAAUAAAGCUGGCACGUUUCCAUUUCUCCUGGGCAAAUAUUUAGAAGAAAAGUUGCUGGGUAAUUGAAGCACUGAGACCACAGAGGCAAGAGCUGGGGAAGGAAAACUGCCCAUGAGAUGAGAUGUGCCUCUCAGCUUCCAAAAUCGGGGAGAUGCCCCCCAUGGAAUCCAGCCAUCAUGCUGUGAGGAAUCCAAGCAGCUACAUAGAAAGGCCACAACUAGAUAUUCCAGCUGUAGUCAGCUGAAGCUCCAGCCAACAGCCAACAUCAACCACCACACGUGAAAACGAGCAAGCCUUCAGAUGAUUCCGACUCCCAACCUCCAAGCCACCUCAGCUGAAGCCAAGUAGAGCAGAGACUAGCUGUCCCCCAAUGCUCUAAUAUGCAGAUUCAUAAUUAAAAAGAAUGUUAUUGUUCUAA
rnacentral:lncRNA from 1 species